rnacentral:ncRNA from 1 species
AAUGACGGAAAACCUAGCAAGUUUUCCAUGUAGCCGCCAUGGCAUGUCAAGAUGUAGCCGGAGUACCGGAUGACCAUCCCGUAAGCUUGACAGUAAGCCCCGAGA